CUGAUGUGUUCUGUUCAUCUUUCCCUCUUCUCUUUUUUUACGCUGCUAUCAACGAGCAUUGAUUUCCUGACCCACUAACGGGCCCUGACCUGAAGACUGAAACACACCACAGCUCACUGACACCCACCAUUCAAAACAGCUUUUCUAUUCAACAAUGCGCUUUGUGUUCUAAAAGGUUAAUCAACAAAAGAACUUUGAGGACAUGACCUAUUCGGAGCCUGUGUGUAAUUGAGCCACUGCAUGGAGGUAGUGUCUGGGUCUACAGUAAGAUUAAGUAGGGUCCUUUCAUCUGGACCAGUUCUCAGGAACUUUGGACGCCAGGUGCGAAUAGACACCAAAAUACACGUAUACACCACCAGCACCAAGACGGCACUUUCGGACUAGGUAACCUUGGCAACUUGUUGAGCUGUUUAUGAAGCAUUAGAUCUGCCACAAGAUUAGUGACACUCUGAUAAAGCCCAUUGGAGUAACUCAGAAUAAAAAAUCCUUGCCCUCCUGAAUGGAUGUGUUCACUCCGAGAUAAUUCACUGAGCAAUACAGUUAUGGUAAGAACUCUCACUCAGUGGAGUGCUCCUUAAGUGCCUGGCCUGUGCUAAGUGUUGUGCUAAUCAUCAUCCUACCGCCCUAGGAUGGAUCCCAUGAGGUCGACGCUGCAAGGAGCCAGUGCGAACCGUGCCUCUGUGAGGAAGAGGCUCACUGUCUUGCUACAGAUGCACAUGCAAAGUACUGUCGCCCCUUUGUUUUCCACAGAAGGAAACCUAAGGCCCAGAAAGCCUUGAUAAGCCCCCCAAAUCAAAGCAAAAACUAUGGACUCCCAAAAUGC